rnacentral:rRNA from 1 species
UACGGAGGGUGCAAACGUUGCUCGGAAUCAUUGGGCGUAAAGCGCACGUAGGCGGCUCGUUAAGUCGGAUGUGAAAGCCCUCGGCUCAACCGAGGAAGUGCAUACGAAACUGGCGAGCUUGAAUAUGGAAGAGGGUCGCGGAAUUCCCGGUGUAGAGGUGAAAUUCGUAGAUAUCGGGGAGGAACACCAGUGGCGAAGGCGGCGACCUGGGCCAAUAUUGACGCUGAGGUGCGAAAGCGUGGGAGCAAACAGG